CGUAAAGCAAGAUGGCCGCGCCGGCUUGACCACGCGUGCUCCUCCCGCCUCAGCGGGCCGCUCCGGACCUUCCGAGGGAGAGAGCGCGGUGCGUGGCGCGAAGGGUCCCGCCGGGCAGCAGGGUAAACCGCCGGCCGCACCCUCCGCGCGCGGCCUUGGGGCUCGCGGCAGCCACCGUACGCCAAGAUGGCGGCCCCCGCGCUUCCGCCCGCGCUUCCGCCCGCUUGCGAUUGGCCCUCGCGCCGCCCCGUCGUCGCGUCGCGCUGCGAGCCCGUCGGGCUCCGCGCGGGUCAGUCGGCGGCCGGACCGGGAAGAUGGACGCAGGCCAUUGGAUCCGAAGUGGAGCAGCUGGGACGUGAACGGGCACUCAUGUGGGAAGCUGGCAUCGCAGAUAGAAGCUUUACCUGCUACGCCACAACCCUGGCCCUGAGGCACACUUCUUAUCCCAGCAGCUCUGUGGACCACUUCGUAAAUGGCCUGCUGUGGUGCGUGAGGGUGCUGAGGUCACGGCGCAAGGGUACUGAGGUCGCAUUUGAGGGUGCUGAGGUCACAGCCACUCUGACCUACGACACUCUCCGGUUUGCCGAGUUUGAGGAUUUCCCCGAGACCUCGGAGCCCGUGUGGAUACUGGGUAGAAAGUACAGCCUUCUCACAGAAAAGAACGAGAUCUUGUCCGAUGUGGCGUCUAGACUCUGGUUCACAUACAGGAAGAACUUCCCAGCCAUUGGGGGAACUGGCCCCACUUCAGACACGGGCUGGGGCUGCAUGCUGCGGUGUGGCCAGAUGAUCUUCGCCCAAGCCCUGGUGUGUCGGCACUUAGGCCGAGAUUGGCGGUGGACACAGCAGAAGAGGCAACCAGACAGCUACUUGAGUGUCCUGCAUGCCUUCAUGGACAGGAAGGACAGCUACUACUCCAUUCAUCAGAUAGCACAAAUGGGCGUCGGCGAGGGCAAGUCAGUAGGCCAGUGGUAUGGGCCCAACACUGUCGCCCAGGUCCUCAAGAAGCUGGCCGUCUUCGACACGUGGAGUUCCCUGGCAGUCCACAUCGCCAUGGACAACACCGUGGUGAUGGAGGAGAUCAGGAGACUGUGCAGGAGCAGCCAUCCCUGCGCAGGAGCCGCCACCCCGCCUGCAGGUGCCGACUGGCACUGCAAUGGGUUCCCUGCCAGCACCGAGGUCACCAACAGGUCGCCCUGGAGACCCCUGGUGCUUCUCAUCCCACUGCGCCUGGGGCUCACUGACAUCAACGAGGCCUACGUGGAGACCCUGAAGCUCUGUUUCAGGAUGCCCCAGUCGCUGGGGGUGAUCGGAGGGAAGCCCAAUAGCGCCCACUACUUCAUCGGCUACGUGGGUGAGGAGCUCAUCUACCUGGACCCCCACACAACGCAGCCGGCCGUGGAGCUGACGGACCUCUGCUUCAUUCCUGACGAGAGCUUCCACUGCCAACACCCGCCCUGCAGGAUGAGCAUCGGGGAGCUUGACCCGUCCAUCGCUGUGGGGUUCUUCUGCAAGACAGAGGAAGACUUCAAUGACUGGUGCCAGCAAGUCAGGAAGCUGUCCUUGCUGGGAGGUGCCCUGCCCAUGUUUGAGCUGGUGGAGCAGCAGCCUCCUCACCUGGCCUGUCCCGAUGUCCUGAACCUGUCCCUAGGCCAUUAGCAGGGAGCUGGAUCGCAAGCAAAGUAGCCAGGACUCGACACACCCAUAGCGAUACCUGCCAACCAGCUCUGCCGCACGCCGGCCGCGCCUUCUCCUUAACUAGGCUGUUGAUUCCUCUCUGCCUCCUCAGAGUCUUCUGAUGUAGAGCGACUAGAAAGAUUCUUUGACUCAGAAGAUGAGGACUUUGAAAUCUUGUCCCUUUGAAGAUCCUGCAUUGGGAAACGGCUUCGGCAGGCCUCGCCGGGCGCCAUUAGCCUGCCCGCCCGCUGAGUGCCUGUGCCCUGGGCCACCCCACUCUGCCAGUGGGCCGAGGACUGCCGCCCUGAGACCUGCCUUCUUGGAGUCAGACUGCCCGCCGUGCAGCGCGCACGUCCACAGGAAGAGCUGCCACACAGCCUGGUGCAGCUGGGCCUGGAACUGCUGCAGCCCCCCGCAGCCCUGCCAGUCUGGCCGUCUUCGUUGGCUUCAGUGCUGCUGCCGCCUGGUGCCUGGGUCUGUGGUUGGUUUGGAAUUAAAGCCCUGUUUGAAGUUGUUCAACAGACACGAGUCAGUCGUGGCAGCCCUACAGGUUGGCAUGUGAGGGACAGCAGUGGCUGCGCUGUGGCCCGGUGCCCGUGGACAGGCUGCUGCUGGGCAGGCAAGCUCUGGGGCCAUGUCCCCUCAGCCAUGGCCUCUGCCCAGUGUGGUGUAUCAGGGUCACCUCGCGGGAGAUCAGGUGGAGUCACAGCAGAGUUCCUCCUUGCUUCGGAGAGGAAGGUGCCCAGACCAGCUGUGUGGAAAGUGCAGCGCCGGCUGCCUGCCAGGACCGCGUGGUGGCCCGGCCACUGGCAGCCUAUCCCAGGUGUCUCCAGCUGCCACACCCAGCUUCCCAGCACCCCUUGCUGCUUGGUAGCCAUGCUGUGACAGGGACAGGGGAGUGGCAUUCGCCUGCAGGGGCCUCUCUGGUCACUGAGGUUUUGAUGUUCUGCAGCCAAAGUGCUCAUGGAUUCCAGCUGUGGUUCCAGACCCACUUGGGUGCCUCUUUCAGCACCUGCCCUUUUACCCCAUGCUGUGGGCCCCGUGGGUGCCACGCUGCCUGCGUCUGCUGGGAGAGCUGCUUUCGGAAGUGCAGAUGGGGUGGGAGCUGGCAGCUGAUGGCUGGGCUGCUGCUGCCCAUGCAGUGGGGCUGGAGCUCGGCUCGUCUCUGGGGACAUCCGCUGUGGCUGUCAGCUCCGCCCGGCCCAGUGAGGCAGCAGAGGACUCCCUAGCUCCAAGCACUAACCUAAUUUAUUUUCUCUUCUUUCACUUUUCCUCCCAGCCUCCCUCAGCUGCAGCGGGUGGGGCAGGAGGGAGGUGGGGUCGGUCGCCCUCUGCUCCUCAGGGUCUCCAGCGUGGACCAAAGGGGAGCUCUCUCUUGCUCACGAGGCUCUGAAGAGGAUGUUGUCCUUCUCAGUAGUGUAGUUUGCUGUGCUCAAUGGCGAAUAAUAACAUUUCAGUAGAAAACGG